GCUCACCGGGGGCCUCACGAAGUCACAGAAUCAACAAAAUCCGUUCGUGUGUGCAGCCCCCACGUGUCGUGCGCAUUAGCGUGGCCGACAGCGAGCGAGGCGGGCCCUGGAUCAGCAGCCGCGUAACAAGUGAAAGUGAACAUAUGUUCCUGUGACACCUUCUUCUUUCUAAAUUCAAAGAGAAAAAGAUGAAGACAAGGAGGGAUGAGUUGGCGGAUGGACGGAUCAAUGGACAGAUAGACCACCACCUUUGAAAUAAAGCAGGAAGCAAAAGACCCUACUGGCAAAGCAUCCUGGGAAGAGAACCAAAACUACCCCCUCAACAAUAAGGACUGCCCUGAGCCAGUAAGAUCCAGCCUGUGAUGGAUUUGACCUUCACUGCCCACCUGCAUACAUCCACAAACCGUUGUUUUACAUUUUCUUUAUAUAAACCUGAAGGUAUUUUCAGCACUUUGGAGACAGUCUUUGAGACACUAGCCCACUUUCUUUUGGUGUUGUCCUCACCAAAAUAAAUUCCUUUCUUGUUUCACCACCA